rnacentral:rRNA from 1 species
GAGAGGUGCUGCAUGGCUGUCGUCAGCUCGUGUUGUGAAAUGUUGGGUUAAGUCUCGCAACGAGCGCAACCCCUAUCGUCUGUUGCCAGCAUUAAGUUGGGCACUCUGACGAGACUGCCUGGGUUAACCAGGAGGAAGGUGGGGAUGACGUCAAGUCCUCAUGGCCCUUAUGUCUAGGGCUACACACGUAAUACAAUGGCGCGUACAGAGGGAAGCGAACUAGCAAUAGGGAGCAAAUCUCAAAAAGCGCGCCUCAGUUCGGAUUGGAGUCUGCAACUCGACUCCAUGAAGUUGGAAUCGCUAGUA